GGUGGCAGCGCAAGUCGGGCGUGAAAUCCCACGGCUCAACCGUGGAAGUGCACUCGAAACUGCGCAGCUAGAGUCCUGGAGAGGAAGGUGGAAUGCUUGGUGUAGAGGUGAAAUUCGUAGAUAUCAAGAGGAACACCGGUGGCGAAGGCGGCUUUCUGGACAGUGACUGACGCUGAGACGCGAAAGCGUGGGGAGCAAACAGGAUUAGAUACCCCUGUAGUC
rnacentral:rRNA from 1 species